AAGAGACGUUGCCCUUCGGGGUAUACCUCCCACCCUUUGUUAUUAUACCUUUGUUGCUUUGGCGGGCCCGUCCUCGGACCACCGGCUUCUGCUGGUCAGUGCCCGCCAGAGGACCUAGAACUCUGUUUGUUAAUAUUGUCUGAGUACUAUAUAAUAGUUA
rnacentral:misc_RNA from 1 species